rnacentral:rRNA from 1 species
GAGGCACUGCCUGCCCAGUGACACAUGUUUAACGGCCGCGGUACCCUGACCGUGCAAAGGUAGCAUAAUCACUUGUUCUCUAAAUAGGGACUUGCAUGAAUGGCCACACGAGGGUUUAACUGUCUCUUACUUUUAAUCAGUGAAAUUGACCUAUCCGUGAAGAGGCGGAUAUAACUAAAUAAGACGAGAAGACCCUAUGGAGCUUCAAUUUAAUAAUACAAACAAAUGCUCUAAACACCUACAGGCACUAACCCACUGUCAAUGUAUUAUAAAUUUUGGUUGGGGUGACCUCGGAGCACAGCACAACCUCCGAAAAACUUAUACCAAGACCUCACUAGUCUAAGUAAUUUACACUUAUUGACCCAAUAACUUGAUCAACGGACCAAGUUACCCUAGGGAUAACAGCGCAAUCCUAUUUUAGAGUCCAUAUCGACAAUAGGGUUUACGACCUCGAUGUUGGAUCAAGACAUCCUAAUGGUGCAGCCGCUAUUAAGGGUUCGUUUGUUCAACGAUUAAAGUCUUACGUGAUAAUAGGAGCCUACYUCACAAGGCGCUCCCAUAAAUCAAAUGAUUAUAAUCUUAAUUUCACAAAUUAUUACCCCUGCCCAAGAACAGGGCUU